GACGAACGCUGGCGGCGUGCUUAACACAUGCAAGUCGAGCGGUAAGGCCCUUUCGGGGGUACACGAGCGGCGAACGGGUGAGUAACACGUGGGUGACCUGCCCUCAGCUCUGGGAUAAGCCUGAGAAACUGGGUCUAAUACUGGAUAUGACUCCACGGUGCAUGUCGUGGGGUGGAAAGCCUUGUGCGGCUGAGGAUGGGCCCGCGGCCUAUCAGCUUGUUGGUGGGGNGAUGGCCUACCAAGGCGACGACGGGUAGCCGGCCUGAGAGGGCGACCGGCCACACUGGGACUGAGACACGGCCCAGACUCCUACGGGAGGCAGCAGUGGGGAAUCUUGCGCAAUGGGCGAAAGCCUGACGCAGCGACGCCGCGUGAGGGAUGACGGCCUGG
rnacentral:rRNA from 1 species